GGUCAUCAGGUCCUGCCCCAGGAAACAACUGGGUCCCAAAUUGGACCAAGUCUCCAGACCUUGCAAGAGGCCGAUAAGACCAGACAUUUGAUUGGAACCAGAAGGUAAGACAGCAAAAGAUAUCUCCAAGGAGCUGGGACUGUUUUAUGCUGAGGGAUCUAAGACCUGAGAGGCAUUUGGAAGAGGGAAAAUCAGUGAGUCUGGCCUGAAAGGAGGCAGCAAAGCAGAGGCAUGUCAGGGACAGGAUCUAUUUGGCCUCAGAGGACCUUCUCUGCCUGACGACAGCAGCCAUUCAACCCCACCCCUUUGUCUCUGCAUGAGGAGGCUCUCCUCUCACUCACCAUCUUACCCUGAUUAUGUCUGGGCAUGUUAAAACUGACGCCAGCCAUUGGGAUACGUAACUCACUACUUGCAUGUAACAAAGUAACAGAAGAACGAGGAAACACUGUGAGCGUCAUAUAAGAGAAUCAGGACCAAUGGGCCACUUGUCGCCAUGGUAACCAUAAUCAAAACAAGGAUUCCAGCUUUCCUGAAGCUGGUGUUUAAUGAUGAUUGUAUUACACAGAGGAGUAACUAAUCCCACAGUGCAUUAUAAACAGAGUUUCUCGUAGCCAACAUCAUCAGUGACGGAGAAAAGAACUUGCAACCUGGACAAAGUACAUUUCUCAAGGUCUCAGGAAGAAAGAGCAGUCUGGACAAGAGGGAAAUCAGCACACAGGGAAGCUGACUUCAAUUUUCUCUUCUACUCUGAUUCAUCAUUGGGCCAAGGGCCCAAGACCAACCAGUUCCCGUGUCUCAUUUCAGAUUUGCAUGAAGAGUCUGAUAAGUUGCUGACCUGACAAUGAAUAGAUCACCCCAUGAUCAGUGUCUGUGCUACUUCCUUGACUUUAACAUGGAGAUGGUGUCAUACACAGAGUUGUAAUCAAGUGCCUGCUCUUUGGUGGCUGCACUAGUUUCUGGCUGUGCAACCACAAGCAACGACCUAGCCUCUCUGAUCUUCCUUUUUUUUUUUUCACCUAUAAAAUGAAUGUGCCCCAUGGGACUGUCAUAAGGAUUUUUAAAAAGAUCAUGUAUGUAAACUCCUUAUCCUAGGGCCUGGUACAUAGUCAGUGUCAAAUUAAUAUUAGUCAUUAUUAUUACCAUCAUCAUCAUCAUUCAGUCAGGAGGGCCAUUUUCAGAGCUUCAAGUUGAGCACCCAAAUUUAUUCCCAGCCAAGCCCAGCCUCCCCCCAUUUAUUAAAAAACAUAAUC
rnacentral:lncRNA from 1 species